GAUGAUGUGUGUGUGUGUGCGUGUGUGUCUGCUGAAUGAUGUGUGUGUGAGUGCUGGAUGAUGUGUGUGUGAGUGCUGGAUGAUGUGUGUGUGUGUGAGUGCUGGAUGAUGUGUGUGUGAGUGAGUGCUGGAUGAUGUGUGUGUGAGUGAGUGAUGGAUGAUGUGUGUUUGAGUGAGUGAUGGAUGAUGGGUGUGUGAGUGCUGGAUGAUGUGUGUGUGUGCUGGAUGAUGGGUGUGUGAGUGCUGAAUGAUGUGUGUGUGAGUGCUGAAUGAUGUGUGUGCUGGAUGAUGGGUGUGUGAGUGCUGGAUGAUGUGUGUGUGUGCUGGAUGAUGGGUGUGUGAGUGAGUGCUGGAUGAUGUGUGUGUGAGUGCUGGAUGAUGGGUGUGUGAGUGCUGGAUGAUGUGUGUGUGAGUGCUGGAUGAUGGGUGUGUGUGAGUGCUGGAUGAUGGGUGUGUGAGUGCU